rnacentral:tRNA from 1 species
GCCGAAGUGGUGGAAUUUGGUAGACACGCCAUCUUGAGGGGGUGGUGGGCUAAAACCCGUGCGGGUUCGAAUCCCGCCUUCGGCACCA